CGCGCAGGCGGCUUUUCAAGUCAGGCGUGAAAGCCCCGGGCUUAACCUGGGAACUGCGUCUGGGACUGAGAGGCUAGAGUUCGGGAGAGGAGAGUGGAAUUCCCAGUGUAGAGGUGAAAUUCGUAGAUAUUGGGAAGAACACCGGUGGCGAAGGCGGCUCUCUGGACCGAGACUGACGCUGAGGCGCGAAAGCGUGGGGAGCAAACAGGAUUAGAUACCCUGGUAGUCCACGCUGUAAACGAUGUGUGCUAGACGUUGGGGAGCCUAGCUCUUCGGUGUCGCAGCUAACGCGGUAAGCACACCGCCUGGGGAGUACGGCCGCAAGGUUAAA
rnacentral:rRNA from 1 species